CAAUAGCGUAUAUUAAAGUUGUUGCAGUUAAAAAGCUCGUAGUUGAAUUUUUGCUUGCCGCCGAUGUCGGAACUUCCGUACGUUCGGCGGCGUGCAUCCUUGGGUGGAACCUGUGUGGCAUUAGGUUGUCGUGCAGGGGAUGCUCAUCGUUUACUGUGAAAAAGUUAGAGUGUUCAAAGCAGGCUUACGCCGUUGAAUAUAUUAGCAUGGAAUAAUAAGAUAGGACCUUGGUACUAUUUUGUUGGUUUGCGCACCGAGGUAAUGAUUAACAGGGACAGUUGGGGGUAUUCGUAUUCCAUUGUCAGAGGUGAAAUUCUUGGAUUUCUGGAAGACGAACUACUGCGAAAGCAUUCACCAAGGAUGUUUUCAUUAA
rnacentral:rRNA from 1 species